CUAAUUAUCUAAUUCUCAAUGUUUCAGGUGAUGCAUCAAAAUCAUAGUAAUGUGGAUGUGUGAAUUCAGCCCCAAACAACUUGUUGUCUUUAUUACUAGCCUUUUUGGCUUAUUAACCUUUCUAAUUUAUUAUUUCAAGUGGAUGUGUGAAUUCAACAACAAACAACUUUUUUUUUUUUGUGGUAAAUAACAAACAACUUCUUACCUUUAUUACUAGCUUUUUUUGGCUUAUUAACCUUUCUAAUUUAUAAGGUUGUAAAUCUCAUAUUUGGUCCUAGAAUGUGAUUUGUUUUUAAUCUCUGUACUUUCAGAGCUGUCUACAACUCCUCAAUGUCUGCAGAGAAUUCCGGCGGAAAACAAAUGUCUAAAAUAGAGAAGAGAUUUCCUGAUACUUUUUUGUUUUGGGAAACUCGAAAAGGGAGGAUUGAGGAUGGGAAGUUGAGAGGACAUGGAAUGCAAGUCGGAGAUACUGUUUCGGGGCCACGGGCAGACUUAUCUUCUGUUGAAGUCAAAGGCGGCCUCUACCAAAUUUAUGCAGUCCAUUGUUUCAGAAGUUCAUCGAGUACAUCCUUCAGAAUGUGAAGGAUAUUUUCAUCAACGAGAAGGAGCUGGAGAAGUUUUUUCUUCUGAAGAAAGAGUUUCAAAUCCUUGAAGAAGGUCUCAAGUAUCUCAAAACCUUCCUCAAUUUCAUAAAAGACGCAAGCAUGGAACUAGAGAAAUCCAAAAUUCUCUUUAAUCAUAUGGAGGUUGUCACUCGGAAUGCUGCUUACAUCUGUUACCUAUGUCACGUGGAAGAAACAGAUGAAGACAUGGCAUCUCACUUGAGACUCAAGAUCUCAACUGUUUUGCAAGAGAUCAAGCCCAUUAAGCCCCAAAUCGCCCAUAAUCUAAUCUUGUUUUAGCUUGCAAUUGUUUUUUAGGAAACUUGCAGCACUCAUAGACGGUAGGACAAACCUGCACUCGUGGAUUAGAAUCAUCAAUAGCUGCAGCUAAUGCAAGGAAUACUUGGUUAUGGUAUUUUUCUUGCAAAUGCGGAGAGAACUCACGCAACAACUGACAAAUUGCAUAGCAAGUUGCACAUCUAGCUCGAGGAUGAGGAUCUUGGCAACAAUUGAGAAAAACAGUCACCAGCUGCUCCAAAUUCUUAAUCAUCACCUAUAAGAGGAAAGAAGCCAUUAAUUCAAGCAUAUGGAAGGGUAGAGAAAAUCUCCUUUAGUCUAUGAAGGUGGCAACAGUGAUUACAAAGGACAUACGCCGCCCGAUUCUCCCAUUCAAACAUUUCGGGCCUGCUCGUCUGCAACCUCACCUUUGCUCAAAUAUGCGUCAGUCAACGUCUUCAUCAUUCCCGGCAACAAAUCCUGGAAACGCUCCUUUUCGUUUGAACUCAGCAUACGCUGAAUGAAUCUGAUCACAGCUCUCAUGGCUGCGAUCCUCACGUAUAGAUCAAGGGUAUCAUCAUUCAGUGUAUUACGGAAUCGUGAGUGCAAAGUCUUUGCAGAAGGGACUACUAUUGUUUCACCUAUGUCUUCAGCUAGUGCAGCAAAUAUAAGGAAAGCAUGCUCUUUGAGGUAAUUGUUUGAAGCGGAAUCAGUGAGUCAUUGAUACAAGAAUGGCAAUAAUUCAGGCCAGUUGUUGUUUGGGAGAAGUAAAGCACUCAAGCAAUAAAUGGUAUAACAGCGGCGUUCGUUGAUGAAUUGUGAUUCUUCCAAAUUGAUGAUAGGAUUAAAAAGGAAAGAUUUGAUGGCAGAUUGAGUGGAGAUGCUUAGAUUGCGCCAAGUGGUAAAUAAAGAGAUUGAGUGUAAUGAUUUUUUACUAAAAAGGAAAAAACAAGAGGCAAAAAAGAAAGUUGAAAAGAAAGAAUAACAAAAAAAGGGGUAAAGAAGCCCCUUUUUAAUGGGGAGGGAUUUUAAUUUCUUGCACGAGCAGAGGAGCUAAACUUGGUAAAAUACUCAAUUUUUCAUCUCCAACUUCAAUUGCUGUAAAAAUGGUGGAAAUGACGGAAUAUAAAAGACAUUGAAGUGGCGUUUUUGUUGGAGGAAAAAUGGAAUAGAUGGUGGAGUGAAAAAUAGAAAA